AACGAACGCUGGCGGCAGGCUCAACACAUGCAAGUCGAGCGCCCCGCAAGGGGAGCGGCAGACGGGUGAGUAACGCGUGGGAAUCUACCGUACCCUACGGAAUAGCUCCGGGAAACUGGAAUUAAUACCGUAUACGCCCUACGGGGAAAGAUUUAUCGGGGUAUGAUGAGCCCGCGUUGGAUUAGCUAGUUGGUGGGGUAAAGGCCUACCAAGGCGACGAUCCAUAGCUGGUCUGAGAGGAUGAUCAGCCACAUUGGGACUGAGACACGGCCCAAACUCCUACGGGAGGCAGCAGUGGGGAAUAUUGGACAAUGGGCGCAAGCCUGAUCCAGCCAUGCCGCGUGAGUGAUGAAGGUCUUAGGAUUGUAAAGCUCUUUCGCCGAUGAAGAUAAUGACGGUAGUCGGAGAAGAAGCCCCGGCUAACUUCGUGCCAGCCGCCGCGGUAA
rnacentral:rRNA from 1 species